UAAGAUCAUGUGACUACUCUGACUUGCUUUUUGAGCUGUAGCUUAUCUUGCCAACUGAUAAUGUAAUAAUUACCAAAUAAUGUGAUAAAAUGUGACUUUACUUUGGCUGGAAAAGCACAAAAUCAUGUUAAUGUGUUACAUUUUUCUUUCUUGUGGUUUUUACCAAAAAAACUCAACCCCUUUGCCAGUAAAAUCUAUAUGACUGAAUUACUGUAUAUAAAAACAUGAAUAUAAUUCUGAGCAAUGCAAUGAUAGAAAUUAUCAUCUAUAUUUCUCUACAGUGUAGUUAUUCAGUGUUGCAGUGGCUGCUGAAAGCCACCCUUUCUAAAUACAGAUAAUAAUGAGAUAAUUAUUCAAUAACCCAAGUGUUUACAUUUUAGUCUCCUGCUAGCCAAACCAUUUCCUGCACCUGCUGAGAAGCUAAACACCACUUUCUUCUCAAGUUUAGAGCAAAUAGCACAAUAAUUGUAACAAAUGUAAUUUGUUGCGUAUAUUCAGUUUUAAAGAAUGACUGUUAUUCCCAUCCUGAGCAGUCGUAUCCCUACCACAUCCCUUUGCUAGUGAGAAAUCCUGACCCACAUGUUGAUGUUGGCCACUUACUGUUUAUAGCCAAAACACUACCGCACCAUUAACAGAUCACUUUCAUUAGAUUACGCUUGUACACACAUUCAAGUUUAGGGUAUUUAUUUAAUAAAGAAUCCAGGUGCUAAAGGUUUAAAUAUCAUAUACCUGUUUGUGAUCAUAAUGUGGGUUAUGAAUUGUGUUGUUUUAUUAGCUUUUACUGAGCGACUGACUUUACUCAUUGUGUCCCUGUGGUUUCUCUGUUGACACUGCCAUUAUUCCAGGGCUGACAGGCAAAGACCAAACAUGACAUUUGAGGACACCUAAGCUACUGUGACCUUUAAUUAAACUUGAAGGGAAAAAAGAAAAAUUUGUGAUUAUUCAAAGGUGCAGUAUUCAUUUGUAAAUACCUGGUUUUACCUCAAAGCCACAGACUCUGUGAGCUGGAUCUACAGUGUAUGAGUUAAAAUGCUCAUAAACAAAGUUUCUGCCAGCUGUUGUUUUUAUACUCUCUGCUCUAUCAGACCUUAUACCUUAUCCUUGACAAACAAUGGCACAGCCUGACUCCUUCACACAUUUUCAAAGCAAUACAAAAAUACAGAACUUGGCAGUGGGAUAAGAAGGAAAGAGGGAGGCUUGCACGCUGCUCUGUGGAUUGUUGGGGCGAGGGUCAACUGAAGGGCGGCUCUGUUAUUAUCUAUGAAGAAUGAAUAUCUGGUGAUUACUGCAGCCAAGGGGAGAGAGAGAUGUUUGCUCCGUCAAGUAUGAUUUAUAAAAUUUGUCAUAGAAGCCAAAUGCUUUUUGCAGUAAGUAAUUUUUCAAAUUCACUUUGAUGUAAUUUUAUCAAGGUUUUUUGGGGGGGGUUCUUUGUUACAUAAGUUGACACUAAAUACUGUACCAUUUCAAGUGGCAUAAUCAAAUUUCAAACCGUAAAAUAGCUUACAGUUAAUUUGUCUGUUCAAAGCAAUGCAAUCAAACUCCACAAGCAGAAUAUAAUUUUGAUGUUUAAUUCAGUUUGAUGACAGAAGGAACAUUUCACACCCUCUGGCCAUCAUUAGUGUCACAAUUUGGGGCACUGAAACAAAGAAUGACUAAGAAAAACUGACUCCUUGCUUUGAGAAUGAUAUUCAAACACAGACACAUGCAGACAGAGAUGCAAAUGCAGCCUCUUAUACAUGCAUGUUCACACACAAACACAAAUGAAUGUACAGUAGCAGUGCACACCAGAGCUCACAAACACUGUUAACAUCUGACACACAUGCAGUGCAUUUCUCGCUCCCAGGCUUCUCUUCUGUAGCUCUUGAUCCUGUGCUGCCUGGUGUGUAUAUUUUGUUGUGCUUUGCGUGUGUGAGGACAGAACAGGAAGAGAUAAAGGCAGUCCUGUUGGUGUGUUUACAGCCAACACUGCUGAAGAGAAUAGCUGUAGAAAAUGAAGGGGAAGAGGCCUAAUGGCUGGCGCGAAGAAGCCGGACCCCCCCUUGCUGUGAAAAAUCACCUCAGGACCGAGAGAGAGAGAGAGAGAGAGAGAGAGAGAGAGAGAGAGAGAGAGAGAGAGAGAGAGAGAUACACAAAUCCUAAUCUCGAUUUAGAGGAACAACCACAUUUUUAAGGAACCAAGGAAAAUGUGGAUGAGAUUCUAAAUGAUUUUUACAUGUUGUCAAGACCCUCAAGCCAUGAUUUCAGAAGUGUGGGGUCAAACAUAAUUGCUUCUGAACUUGUUCUCUUUUUAACAGCAUAGUUUGACUUUUAUUUGCCCAAAUUAUCCCACUGCAAGAUUUAAGUAAAUGAGAAACAUUGUCACAACAUGUGGGCACUUUCUAAUAGGUUUCUCCCUGGCUAACAGGCUUCUUGCUCUUCCAGGAAACAGUGAUUAAAAGUCAUUCUCAAGCUUUUUCCUUUUCUUGCAGAACACAGAAACUGGUUGCUGUUUUAAUCUCUGGAAUAUUUGUUAUGUUUCUGGUUUACAAAAAAGAUUCUUACACUUUAAUUAAAAGGUCUAUCUCUGUAGGAAUCCUAAAAACAAGCAUUUUAGUGGCUAUAUAUACACUUUGACAUGGAAAGUUGCCCAGUUGAAUUACAUUGCAGCAGAUGUUCGCAGUGGCCAGGUACACCGUUCUUGCUCAAUAUAGCACUGAUUCCUAAAUAUUUUUAUUUUAUUUUAUUUUAUUUUUUGCACCCAAAAACAUGGGAAAACAAGGGUUAAAAAACACGGGAGUUAUCCAUAAAAAGUGUGGUUUUAAGUUUGUUCAGCUGGUUUUAUUGCGAAGGUUGUGCUUUUAUUUUGAAGGAAGGUUGCGGUAGUGAGAGGAGGGAACUACUGUGAGAACAAACUGUCAACACGGAAACAUCGUGUCCUCUAGUUUAAGGGAAAUUUUAAUAUUGUUGUUUGUUCAGCAGCUGGCUGAUGGGGGCACAAGUUUGGUGUGUGUUUCAUUUGAUGUUUUGUGUGAUACUGUAGUGCUGUUUUUACAGUAUUUCAGCCUCGUUUCACUGCAGCAAGAGGACUCUCGCUCAUAUUUCAACUCAUACAUGGGAUGAUAAUGCUGCCACCACCUUUCACACUUUACUGAAGCCAGGAGUCCACUGUCACACAACCUUGCCACCUAGUGGAGCUCUGAAGGUUAACCUCCCUCCUGGUCAACAGAAAUCUCCCACACAACUACCUCCCUCAUCUGGGGAGAUGCCUGCUCUACAACAUUCCCUUCAGAUCCCAUUUAUUUUUUACCUGCUGAAGACAAUAUAACACUAACCAGCUUUGCAUAUACAUAUACAGGUAUUCAGGAGUCUCCUGGAUCUUGCAGAAAGGGGGGCUCGUCACUAGCAGGUCACAGAAACUGUUCUUCACCCAGCAUAUGUGUGAUAUACUCCCAUGACCCAUGUUUUCAUGUUAGAGUUAAUGGUGUGCCAAAGCAAGAAACAGGUCUCAUCCAACAAGAAGCAAAUUGAGUCACACAGGAGAAGUCACUCCGCAAAAGAGACUGCACAAACAAGAGGAAAGCCAGAUGGAACUGUCAUCAAAUGGUUCUCUCUCUACAGUUACACCAACAGCAACACAUAAUGGCACUUUGACAAGCCAGACACGCAAAUAUACCAGUCACAACUGGGAGUUCUUGGUGGCUGUCCUGGUAACAGCCAUCUCUAUCUCCAUUAUCAUCGCCCUUCUGGCUAAAUGCCAGGUGGUUCGGCGCUACUUGGCCAGCUACCGGCACACACGGCUGAGGGAGGCAGACACUGAGCGAGACAGACACUGUCAGCCAGUGUGUCCCUGACUGUAUUCCACGAGGCCUAGAGAUGGAGUACGGCAUGCACAUCGGAAUAGUUGAGAGGGCUCACUGUCCCAAUCACGUGGGCGAGGAAGAUGAUGACGGCUUCAUUGAGGACAACUACAUCCCAGCCAGUGAGAGAGCGAGGGCUGAGAGAGCAGCAGAGAACAUGGAGGACCCUGAGGAAGAGAUAGACGAGAUUGAAUUUACCAUUGCGUAGUAGGAGUGUCUCCACACCUUCUCGGCUGAACCACCAAUUCCACUCCCACCUUUUCCUUAUUUUUCUGUUCAUUUGAGUUAGAACGAUAUAGUCAAGUCACAGAUUUGGAGAUUUGGCACUUUGUAAACACUGGUUGAGAACAGGACAAAUGCCAAUGUGUCAAAAGCGUCUUAAUUUUAAGGCAGCACAGAAGUGCAUUAUUAUGGCAGUAGUUCUCUACAUGUUGUCUCAGGACCCACCAAAAUCCCCAUGAAAGAGAAUUUCAGCAUAAUCUCAGGAAGGUGAAUAUAAAUCGAGUUGGUGGUGCCUUAUUUAUCAUUAACAGUAAAUUAUAUGUUUCUUAGCUUUAAGUGAUAAUCAAAGGAGUGAAAUUGUGUCCUGAACAACAAAAGUUUUAAAAAGAAGAUAGUGAAAAAGAGACCAAAGGGUCCUCUAUAAAUACGAACAUUAAAGCAACUAAAUGUAACACUUGAUGAGCAGCAGCAGCCUUCAUUCACGUGUGGUGAUUAAAUCUGUUGGGCCCCGAGUCCAAGUGCUUAAGUGGUUUUUAUUUACAGCAAACGAAGUCUGUCAGUCUGUGUAGUCUCACUCGCUUAAUGGAAAGACACCAAAAUGGUGCAUAUUACCCAUGACCCCUGGCUUCCAGAGUCAGAACUGCUGUUGCUGUAACAAACACACCAAACUCUGUGUGUAAUUCUUGAUAUUUUCCAAGUUUCCUCACCAGCUAUCAAAUAUGAACAUUGGUUCUUGAUGAUUUUUAAGUCUUUUUUUACUGACAAACUACACUACAAACUAGUUUGGCAUUACUCUUGAAGUCGCACGGCCUGAUUCCAGCAGUUUAACUCACUAUUUAUCACUCAGUCUUUUUUUACUGAUUACACUACAAACUACAGUUUGGCAUUACUCUUGAUCUUGCGGGGCCUGAUUCCAGCAGUUUCAGUCACUAAUUAUCACUCAGUUAGUGGGAGUGCUUACCAAAGUUACAUAGUGCAGGAACAGGCCAGGAACGACGUAUGCACCAUUCUUCCGAACAAAUCAGUGUACCAGUACAACCAGUGUUGCACUGGUACACUGAAAAUGAUUCUGAUUCUGUUAUUUUAAGAUGUAAUAGUUACAUAAUGUUGUUUUAACCAAUCACCUUUGUAUCUGACAGUGUUUGGCUGCGCUGACUGGGAAAUUGAUUUGUUAUUUUUGUGAUAAAAGUCAGCCAAAAAUAUCUGUGUAUGAUUCAGACAGAUAAUAUCAGCUGUGCUGUAAACAGGAACAUUUCACUUUGCAAAGUCAUGUUUUGUCAGUGACACGUAUACAAAUGUGUGUGUGCAUGGAUGUAUUCGAUUCAAGACUAAUUCAUGCUGUAAUUAAAAAGCCUAUUUAACUGUUCAAAA